rnacentral:rRNA from 1 species
CGGGUGAGUAACGCGUGGAUAACCUGCCUCACACUGGGGGAUAACAGUUAGAAAUGACUGCUAAUACCGCAUAAGCGCACAGUACCGCAUGGUACAGUGUGAAAAACUCCGGUGGUGUGAGAUGGAUCCGCGUCUGAUUAGCCAGUUGGCGGGGUAACGGCCCACCAAAGCGACGAUCAGUAGCCGGCCUGAGAGGGUGACCGGCCACAUUGGGACUGAGACACGGCCCAA